AGCGAACGCUGGCGGCAGGCCUAACACAUGCAAGUCGAACGAAGUCUUCGGACUUAGUGGCGGACGGGUGAGUAACACGUGGGAACGUACCUUUUGGUUCGGAACAACUCAGGGAAACUUGAGCUAAUACCGAAUGUGUCCAUAGGGGGAAAGAUUUAUCGCCAUUAGAGCGGCUCGCGUUAGAUUAGCUAGUUGGUGGGGUAAAGGCCCACCAAGGCUACGAUCUAUAGCUGGUCUGAGAGGAUGAUCAGCCACACUGGGACUGAGACACGGCCCAGACUCCUACGGGAGGCAGCAGUGGGGAAUCUUGCGCAAUGGGCGAAAGCUUGACGCAGCCAUGCCGCGUGAAUGAUGAAGGUCUUAGGAUUGUAAAAUUCUUUUACCAGGGACGAUAAUGACGGUACCUGGAGAAAAAGCCACGGCUAACUUCGUGCCAGCAGCCGCAGUAA
rnacentral:rRNA from 1 species